rnacentral:tRNA from 1 species
AGGGAUUUAGCUCAGCAGCAGAAGCACCUGCCUUGCAAGCAGGCGGUUGUGAGUUCAAUCCCUG